rnacentral:lncRNA from 1 species
AGCCGGCCCCGCCCCCUGGCGCGCGGGCGUGUCGGACCCGCAGAGCUCUCGGACUUUCGGAAGCUCUCGGUGUGGGUGCGACCCGAGAGAAGGAGCGGGGCUGGUGGGGCUGCUGCAGCCGUCACAGGAAAUAAGUAAUCAUGGUGCUCAACAGUUUGGAUAAGAUGAUUCAACUCCAGAAAAACACUGCCAACAUCAGGAAUAUUUGUGUUUUGGCUCAUGUUGACCAUGGAAAAACUACUCUGGCUGACUGUCUUAUAUCUAGCAAUGGAAUCAUCUCCAGCCGCCUAGCAGGCAAGGUAAUGAGGAGUACCUGAUCAAUCUGAUAGACUCUCCAGGACACGUGGACUUUUCCUCAGAAGUAUCAACCGCUGUUCGCAUUUGUGAUGGAUGCAUCAUUGUGGUAGAUGCUGUGGAAGGAGUCUGUCCACAGACACAGGCAGUUCUGCGACAAGCUUGGCUUGAAAACAUCCGUCCGGUUUUAGUGAUUAAUAAGAUUGAUCGCUUGAUAGUGGAACUGAAAUUCACCCCACAAGAGGCCUAUUCUCACCUCAAGAAUAUUUUAGAACAGAUUAAUGCGCUCACAGGGACUCUUUUUACUUCUAAAGUCCUAGAAGAAAGAGCAGAGAGGGAGACUGA